CCAGUUCCACGCUGCAUGCC
rnacentral:miRNA from 1 species